AGAUGUGUUUUUGUUGUUGCUAAAUAUGUUUUGUGCCGAUUAUUGUACCUAAUUGUUCGCCACUGUUGUACCGCGGGAAGCAGAUAUGUUUUCAUUUAGUGUAUUACUGUUCAAUUACCGACCUCGCUAAGCCCGCCGAAGGUUGAUUGGCAUUGAGGAGUUGCAGGCGUUGAAAAACUAAAUU